UACGUAGGGACCAAGCGUUGUUCGGAUUUACUGGGCGUAAAGGGCGCGUAGGCGGCUUAACAAGUCACUUGUGAAAUCUCCGGGCUUAACUCGGAACGGCCAAGUGAAACUGUCAAGCUAGAGUGCAGAAGGGCAAUCGGAAUUCUUGGUGUAGCGGUGAAAUGCGUAGAUAUCAAGAGGAACACCUGAGGUGAAGACGGGUUGCUGGGCUGACACUGACGCUGAGGCGCGAAAGCCAGGGAGCAAACGGG
rnacentral:rRNA from 1 species